UGAGUAACCUGCCCCAGACCCUGGGAUAACCCCGGGAAACCGGAGCUAAUACCGGAUACGAGACGGAGAGGCAUCUCUACCGUCUGGAAAGUUUUUCGGUCUGGGAUGGACUCGCGGCCUAUCAGCUUGUUGGUGAGGUAACGGCCCACAAGGCGACGACGGGUAGCCGGCCUGAGAGGGCGACCGGCCACACUGGGACUGAGACACGGCCCAGACCUCCGUACGGGAGGCAG
rnacentral:rRNA from 1 species